rnacentral:tRNA from 1 species
UCCCAGGUGGCUCAGUGGUAAAGAAUCCGCCUGUCAAUGCGGGACACAGGUUCGAUCCCUGGUCUGGGAA